rnacentral:rRNA from 1 species
AAACCAGCACCUCAAGUGGUCAGGAGGAUUAUUGGGCCUAAAGCAUCCGUAGCCUGUUCUAUAAGUUUCCGGUUAAAUCCACUAGCUCAACUAGUGGGCUGCCGAAAAUACUGUAGAACUAGGGAGUGGGAGAGGUAGACGGUAUUCGGUAGGAAGGGGUAAAAUCCUUUGAUCGAUUGAGGACCACCUGUGGCGAAGGCGGUCUACCAGAACACGUUCGACGGUGAGGGAUGAAAGCUGGGGGAGCAAACCGGAUUAGAAACCCCGGUAGUCC